AAAAUUUGUCAAUCUAAAAAAGGUGAACAAAAUUUAUCAAUCACCCAAAAAGCUUAUGAUUUACAAAAUAUUUCAUUUUUUAACAAUCAUGAAACAAAUUCUGAUUUGGAAAAUCAAAUUCCAAAUCAGAUACCUGUUAUCUCAUCAUGUCAGAAAUGUACUCCAUGUUGGCAGCGGGCUUCUGAUGAUGAAAAUCAAAGUCCAUAUGGUAUAACAACUGUUUCAACGUAUGACAAACAUGAAACUAAUAGCCCCCUCGUGGAUUUUAAUUUUGAAAAUCAAAGCCCAUUAAAAAGAACUUCUUACUCAUCUUAUGAUUAAGAUAAACCAACUUAUAUGGGAACUUCGGAUUUUGGAAGUCAAAAUCCUAUCACUGUUUCCUUUGUAUCAAUCUCUGUAGAAGGUGAAAGGAGUUGCCUCAAUGGAACACCUUCCGAUUUUGAAAAUCAAAAUCAACAUUACAACACUGAUUAUUUAUUACCUGGAAAUUAUUGGAAUACCUCCAUGGCUUCCAAUAUUCAUGAAACUAAAAUUCAACCAUUAGCAAGUGAACAAGAACACUGAUCUAUCAAUCACUGAAGGACAUCUGAGCCCCUUGAUGGACUCUGAUAUAGGAGAACAUUCAUUUUCUGAGGUGAGAAACAGCAUGCUUGAUGAAAUGUUCUUGAUUUUAUUCAUGUGAAGAAUGGGAAGCACACUCAGAGCUUAUGCUUGCUUUACUGUGUUUCUUUUGGCAGAUGGAUUCUCAACCGCUGAGAGAGAU
rnacentral:lncRNA from 1 species